rnacentral:lncRNA from 1 species
CCCUUAGAGCUCUUUUUUUCAACUUAUUCAUCAUAGAAAAUUGCAUGAGCCUAGCUCUGACGGUUUCACCCAGAGAAACAUUUGGAGCACUCUUUGCAUUUUGUAACCAAGGAUGAUCUGCAAGUCCAAGAAUUAUGCAUGCCAAGAGCUUCGUAUUAGAUACAAGGAAUUGGAAGGGGGAAUCAAGCAGUUUGUGCAGAAAAUUAUUCAAUAGAAGACUAUAAUUUACCGAGAACUUCUUGUGCUGUGGGCCGUUGUUUGGGAUCAGGAUUGAGCAUCUUCUUCACCAGAUCCUUUGCUCUAUCAGAAACUUU